GACGAACGCUGGCGGCGUGCCUAAUACAUGCAAGUAGAACGCUGAAGAGAGGAGCUUGCUCUUCUUGGAUGAGUUGCGAACGGGUGAGUAACGCGUAGGUAACCUGCCUGGUAGCGGGGGAUAACUAUUGGAAACGAUAGCUAAUACCGCAUGAUAUUAAUUAUUGCAUGAUAAUUGAUUGAAAGAUGCAAUUGCAUCACUACCAGAUGGACCUGCGUUGUAUUAGCUAGUUGGUGAGGUAACAGCUCACCAAGGCGACGAUACAUAGCCGACCUGAGAGGGUGAUCGGCCACACUGGGACUGAGACACGGCCCAGACUCCUACGGGAGGCAGCAGUAGGGAAUCUUCGGCAAUGGGGGGAACCCUGACCGAGCAACGCCGCGUGAGUGAAGAAGGUUUUCGGAUCGUAAAGCUCUGUUGUAAGAGAAGAACGGGUGUGAGAGUGGAAAGUUCACACUGUGACGGUAUCUACCAGAGAGGG
rnacentral:rRNA from 1 species